rnacentral:rRNA from 1 species
UACGUAGGGUGCAAGCGUUGUCCGGAAGUAUUGGGCGUAAAGAGCUCGUAGGCGGCUUGUCGCGUCGUCCGUGAAAACCUGCGGCUCAACUGCAGGCUGGCGGUCGAUACGGGCAUCACUGGAGUUCGGCAGGGGAGACUGGAAUUCCUGGUGUAGCGGUGAAAUGCGCAGAUAUCAGGAGGAACGCCGGUGGCGAAGGCGGGUCUCUGGGCCGAUACUGACGCUGAGGAGCGAAAGCGUGGGGAGCAAACAGG